CACGUAGGCACCAAGCGUUGUCCGGAUUUAUUGGGCGUAAAGAGCUCGUAGGCGGUUGAGUAAGUCGGGUGUGAAAACUCUGGGCUUAACCCAGAGCCGCCACUCGAUACUGCUCUGACUUGAGUUCGGUAGGGGAACAGGGAAUUCCUAGUGUAGCGGUGAAAUGCGUAGAGAUCGGGAGGAAGGCCGGUGGCGAAGGCGGCGCUCUGGAACGUUUCUGACGCUGAGGCUCGAAAGCGUGGGGAGCAAACAGG
rnacentral:rRNA from 1 species